rnacentral:rRNA from 1 species
AGAAUCAACGCUGGCGGCGUGCCUCAGACAUGCAAGUCGAACGCGAAAGCCCCCCUCGGGGGGUAAGUAGAGUGGCGCACGGGUGAGUAACACGUAGGUAAUUUGCCUUCGGGUGGGGAAUAACUCAGGGAAACUUGAGCUAAUACCGCAUAAUGCAGCGGCUCGACAUCGAGACAGUUGUUAAAGCGGGGGAUCGCAAGACCUCGCGCCUGAAGAGAAGCCUGCGGCAGAUUAGCUAGUUGGUAGGGUAAUGGCCUACCAAGGCGACGAUCU